rnacentral:lncRNA from 1 species
AGCAUGACUCGAGAGUAAGGUGUUUUUAUAGCACUUGCAUUGCACUGCAGGUGAGGAUCUCUAUUUCUUCACUAUUAUUUCUUGGAAAAACAAAAUGCACACUGAGAAUAAGAUAUCCGUUAUUGCUUCUUGAUCACUUAAAUGUGAAAUAUCUUACUUUUUCCUAUCGUAUUAUAUUUUGAUUCUUGAAUUGUUGAAAAUAUUGAUUUAUUCAGAAUCGUAUCUUCUUCCUCGAACUAUUCAAAUAUGUUCUCAUCUUGAUCCGAGACUUAUUCCAAUAAUUUAUCAUCCAGAUUCUUUGGCUACUCAAUCGAGUUCAUUUAUUGAUCCUUGAUUUAUUCAACGAGUUCAAUCUAAUUCUCUAUCAAUAUUGAAUCGUUUCACAUCUUGACUUGUCUAAUAGUUGAACCACCUUUAUUAUGAUUCAUUGAAUCAUUUGAUUUGUUUCUACAGUGGUUCAAUGAACUAAUCGUUCUUUUCCCGACUCUUGGACCAUUUAGGAUUAUUGUGUUUAUCCAUUAAAUCAUUCGUUUCGUACCUACUGUGAAUUGAUGGAUCGCUCAUAUCUUGACUUCUCAUUGAUCCAUUCAAACCACUUGUCUUUUGAGCUAUACAACUACAGAUUCAAUUUUAACCGUAGACUAUUGUUGAUUGAGAUCCAUCUUCAUCAAUUGUUAUACGAUCUUGAAUUGUGAUCACUCUCUUAUUGAAACCAUUGAUCGUACCCUUCUUGACUUAGGAUUUUGUGACCACAAGAUAUUAUCACUUGUUAUUGGAAUCCCACAAUCGUUGAACUGUGAUAUUGGUUCUUUCCAAAGUGGAAUUCAUUAUUGGGAUUCAAAAUGUAAAUUGAGAUAGUCGGAAGCAUAUCCGUAUCUCUAUAUUAUUGAUUCCUUUGGGGACGCCCUAAGGAUAAUUGACCAGUUGGGCCCGGGGCUGUUCGAAAAAGACUGUUGGGCGGUAUUGGGCCGACGGUGGAUGGUCUCUUCGACAGUACCCAUAUUGGAU